UUCCUGGCCAACGCUGAGGGGAGCCCCAAGCAGGAGGAACUUGACCCUUUUGACGUGGAUUCGGGACGCGAGUUCCUCAACCCCAACAGGCCCGUGACCAGUGCCUGGCUGCCCACAGACACUGAGGACAGCGACGAGGCUGAGGGACAAGGGCCUGACACCAAGGACAGAGGAGGCAGCAGCAGCUGCUCUGAGGAGGCCGCGGCUCCAGGCCAAGGGGCCGAAGCCACAGGUCCCGCUUGACGUUUGCAAAGGAGUCAAGAAACGCCAGACUUGAUGAAGCGUGUAUUUGGGAAGCUGCAUGAUGGGGACACGUAGAGACAGCGAGUGGGGACACAGAUGGGCCGGCGGGGCUGGCGUCCGGGCUCUCCCAGCUUCUCUGACACACCUACUCUUGGUUGUACCUCGGAGCUCACAAUGAAGGCGGCAAGCCAGGAA